UACAGAGGGGGCAAGCGUUGUUCGGAAUUACUGGGCGUAAAGGGCGCGUAGGCGGCCUGUUAAGUCGAACGUGAAAUCCCCGGGCUCAACCCGGGAACUGCGUCCGAUACUGGCAGGCUUGAAUCCGGGAGAGGGAUGCGGAAUUCCAGGUGUAGCGGUGAAAUGCGUAGAGAUCGGGAAGAACAUCGGUGGCGAAGGCGGCAUCCUGGACCGGUAUUGACGCUGAGGCGCGAAAGCUAGGGGAGCAAACGGG
rnacentral:rRNA from 1 species